UACGUAGGGCGCAAGCGUUAUCCGGAAUUAUUGGGCGUAAAGGGCUCGUAGGCGGUCUGUCACGUCGGGAGUGAAAACACGGGGCUUAACCCCGUGCCUGCUUCCGAUACGGGCAGACUAGAGGUAUGCAGGGGAGAACGGAAUUCCUGGUGUAGCGGUGAAAUGCGCAGAUAUCAGGAGGAACACCGGUGGCGAAGGCGGGUCUCUGGGCCGAUACUGACGCUGAGGAGCGAAAGCGUGGGGAGCGAACAGG
rnacentral:rRNA from 1 species